rnacentral:ncRNA from 1 species
CCGAGCCGUCGCGACUGGCGCCUGCGGGUGGAACCGACCACCGGGGAGCGAUGGCAGCAGGACCGCCGCGCGCCUGGGCACCGACG